CUUUUUGUCUUUAUCUGCCUUCUUUCCUUUAGCGCUUACGUUAUAUCCUUUUAUCGUGCGUUAAGCCGGCUUGUUGGAACAUCAUCCCUUCCUAUCGCGAUAUUGUCCUAUGGUUACUCCUCUUUUUCCCUUCUCAUUAGUCUGCUUUGCAGGGUUAUAUUACUUUUCCUUUUGCUUCUACUAAGCGCCGAAGGGUUAGGACAAGCAAUAAGUACCCAUUUGUUAGCUCCGUCAAGAGCUAUAGCAAGUCCCUAAUACACCCU
rnacentral:lncRNA from 1 species